CCUACGGGAGGCAGCAGUGAUGAAUAUUGGUCAAUGGACGAGAGUCUGAACCAGCCAAGUAGCGUGAAGGAUGACUGCCCUAUGGGUUGUAAACUUCUUUUAUAUGGGAAUAAAAUGUUCCACGUGUGGGAUUUUGUAUGUACCAUAUGAAUAAGGAUCGGCUAACUCCGUGCCAGCAGCCGCGGUAAUACGGAGGAUCCGAGCGUUAUCCGGAUUUAUUGGGUUUAAAGGGAGCGUAGGUGGAUUGUUAAGUCAGUUGUGAAAGUUUGCGGCUCAACCGUAAAAUUGCAGUUGAAACUGGCAGUCUUGAGUACAGUAGAGGUGGGCGGAAUUCGUGGUGUAGCGGUGAAAUGCUUAGAUAUCACGAAGAACUCCGAUUGCGAAGGCAGUUCACUGGACUGCAACUGACACUGAGGCUCGAAAGUGUGGGUAUCAAACAGGAUUAGAUACCCGAGUAGUC
rnacentral:rRNA from 1 species